rnacentral:rRNA from 1 species
CAGUGCGCGUGCUAUACAUGCAGUCGAGCGGACAGAUGGGAGCUUGCUCCUGAUGUUAGCGGCGGACGGGUGAGUACACGUGGGUACCUGCCUGUAGACUGGGAUAACUCCGGGAAACCGGGGCUAAUACCGGAUGCUUGAUUGAACCGCAUGGUUCAAUUAUAAAAGGUGGCUUUUAGCUACCACUUACAGAUGGACCCGCGGCGCAUUAGCUAGUUGGUGAGGUAACGGCUCACCAAGGCAACGAUGCGUAGCCGACCUGAGAGGGUGAUCGGCCACACUGGGACUGAGACACGGCCCAGACUCCUACGGGAGGCAGCAGUAGGGAAUCUUCCGCAAUGGACGAAAGUCUGCCGGAGCAACGCCGCGUGAGUGAUGAUGGUUUUCGGAUCGUAAAACUCUGUUGUUAGGAAAGAACACUUACCGAUCGAAUAGGGUGGUACCUUGAAAAAAGCCUCAACCAUUUAAGUCCCGGAUUAAUUACGUUUUUGCAGCCGCGUUGAAUAUUUUUGGAUGGUAUUGCGUUUCAGCUUGUACAUUUAUUCGAAUACAUUAAAUACAGAAGGCGCAAAUGGGUAGUAUAGUUACCAGUCUAUUGGCAGUACUAACAUUCGUCCUGUGCUUCUCUUAGAGUACAUGUAAAUCGUAUGGUAACUUCUAUCUGUUAUUUUCCUUUGUUGAAGUUAGGUAGAUGUAUUAAUUUAUUCUUAGAUAUUAGAUAGACAUGUGUGUCAGCUUCAGCCUUUAUAGUGAUCUGUUAUGAUGUCGGUAUAAACAUAUCGAUAUGAUACUGAGACUGUGCUACACGCAUCUAUCAGGAACUCGAGUCUGAUAUAUGGAGAUAGAUGAGUACUACGUGUAAGUACACAGCAACAGUAUAUGCUAUAUGUAUAUUCCCUAAGGUGUGCUGAUAGUGAUGAUCGCGCGACCUGUCUAAUAGUAUGCAUUAGCUCUUGUAUUCUGUAUAGCUUAGCAUCAACUAUAUACCUACUUCUAGUGACGUAAGUACGCAUCGCAGUG